rnacentral:rRNA from 1 species
UACGGGGGGGGCAAGCGUUGUUCGGAAUUACUGGGCGUAAAGGGCUUGUAGGUGGCUCGCUAAGUCAGACGUGAAAUCCCUCAGCUUAACUGGGGAACUGCGUCUGAGACUGGCGAGCUUGAGUGCAGGAGAGGAACGCGGAAUUCCAGGUGUAGCGGUGAAAUGCGUAGAUAUCUGGAGGAACACCGGUGGCGAAGGCGGCGUUCUGGACUGCAACUGACACUCAGGGACGAAAGCUAGGGGAGCGAAUGGG